GGCUGUUUGGCCGAGUGGUCUAAGGCGGUCGGUCCAGGUCCGAUUCUCGUAAGAGGCGUAGGUUCAAGUCCUGCAGCAGUCA